UACGUAGGUGGCAAGCGUUGUCCGGAAUUAUUGGGCGUAAAGCGCGCGCAGGUGGUUUCUUAAGUCUGAUGUGAAAGCCCACGGCUCAACCGUGGAGGGUCAUUGGAAACUGGGGAACUUGAGUGCAGAAGAGGAAAGUGGAAUUCCAAGCGUAGCGGUGAAAUGCGUAGAGAUUUGGAGGAACACCAGUGGCGAAGGCGACUUUCUGGCCUGUUCUUGACGCUGAGGCGCGAAAGCUAGGGGAGCAAACGGG
rnacentral:rRNA from 1 species